UCAACUUACCUAUGCAUUCUUCCCUAAGAUUAUUUGUGCAUGUUGCCAAUAUUUCAAAUUAAGAAAAGAUAGUAUUGGUUGAGGAUGUGUUAAUCUGCAUCCUGAGGUGUAGAGCAAUAUUUUUAUUGCAUCUCCUCCUUGGGAUACAGAUUAUCUCAUCCUUUUCACCAAUUUGAAAUAGUAUAAUCAAUUUCAUAACUUCCACCAGUUCAUGCUUCUGGUAAGAGUUGGAUAAUCUACAUUACAUUAUGCGGUUUAAAGCAGUAAUUUUUUUUUAUUUAAUCCUUGGGAUGUAGAUUAAUUAGCUAGCUAUUCCUUGUCACCAAUAAUAUAAAACAAGUUAAUCAAUUUGAUAUGAGCAAGAAUCAUUGAUUUACAUAUGUUUUUUAUCUCUUAAAUUUAAGUUAUUGUUAUUUUUGGUUUCCUAAAUUUAAAUUUGAUUUUUUAGUAUCUUAAUUUUGAAAAUUACUUUGUUUAGUUCCUAUCGUGCUAAAAAAUCAUCACAAAUUAUGCAAUUAAACCAUCAAAAAUCAAUAAAAAGAUGAUAAAAAAACUAAAUUUAAGAGAUUAAAAAUGCUAGUAACCCGAAAUUGAGGGAUGAAUAAUAUAUUUAAACCAACAGUUUUUUUAGUCUUUUUAGUGACAGUUACUUACCUUGUAUUUUUGUAUUGGACAAUUUUAGCUGCAGUAAUUUUCAGAUUUUUAUGUUUGUAUUUUCUGCUUCUAGGAGCCAACUAUACAAUUAUGGAUUACGACUACAAUUCACAAGGCAGCAUUUUGUCGAAUUGGAUGAGACUAUUCAAGAGAACAUGCUGUACGAGAGAUUCCACGUAUUUUAUGUAGAGGUGUCAAAAUGAAUAAAAGAUGAUAAGCCAACUUGGUUCAACUUGACUAACUAGAUAAACUGGCUCAAAAAAUUGAAUCUAAUAUUCAUCUUGGGUCAUUUUAACUUGAGUCACUUAACACAGAAGUUAAUUAAAAUGACUUUGUGUUGAAUUGAACCGGUUGAGUUGACCUGUUUUUUUUAUUAUUUAAAUUAAUUGUUAUAAGAAAAGAAAAGAUGAAAUGCAC
rnacentral:lncRNA from 1 species